rfam:Pan troglodytes isolate Yerkes chimp pedigree #C0471 (Clint) chromosome 15, whole genome shotgun sequence.
AUGUGACUUGUGGGCUUCCCUUUGUCAUCCUUCGCCUAGGGCUCUGAGCAGGGCAGGGACAGCAAAGGGGUGCUCAGUUGUCACUUCC